ACGUAGGCAGCGAGCGUUGUUCGGAAUUAUUGGGCGUAAAGAGUGCGUAGGCGGUGUUCCAAGUCUGUCGUGAAAUCUCCCGGCUUAACUGGGAGGGUGCGGGGGAAACUGGAAUGCUAGAGGGUGGGAGAGGUAAGCGGAAUUCCUGGCGUAGCGGUGAAAUGCGUAGAUAUCAGGAGGAACACCUGUGGUGUAGACAGCUUACUGGACCACUUCUGACGCUGAGGCACGAAAGCGUGGGUAGCAAACAGGA
rnacentral:rRNA from 1 species